AUUUUAUCUGUCCCCUUUCUCGUUUUGUUUCGCCCCAAGUUUUCUUCCGUUUUCUCGAUCGCUCCGCCCCCUUUUCUUAUUUUUUGGCUGAUGAUUUUGUUGAAGGGGAGUUCGGUCACAUCCACGAGCCGUGGCUUCCAGAUUCGACGGCCGCGGCUCACGUGCCCCGACGCUCCCAGAUCGAUCCGAUCCGAGGUUUACAUAGCCUGCGCCCGGUGAUGAGGUGGGCUCGUGGGGUUAUACGCGCCUCGCACAUGCGUUUUUGUUUUCGCUUUUCCUGGCGUGUUUCUUCAUCAGAUUCUGUGAAUGUUCUAGGCACUUGUGGCUUCGCCAGGUGCAUCGUUGUUCUCGGAUCUUUGCAUCAAGCACCGUGCUUGAGAUCGUUGUGCCGUUUCUCGUCACACUGUCUCGUGCGGCUAUGGGAUUGAAUUGCUCGAGAUUCGUAGGGUAUAGGGGCACUGAACUGAUCUGGGAAGUUGGUAGUCUUUUUCUAAUGUGGAUGUGGAUGAUCUGAGUUGGUGGCCAGUUCUCUCCUGGAGAGGGCAAUAUGAUAUUUUGCCAGCUGCACGUGCUUUCGAUUGUCUAUGGAGUUUAUUCAGUUUAUAGUAAUCUUCGGUUUUUAAAGGCUCUGCUUUUCUGGUGUUUGGCAAUCUGGACGUGUUUUUUUUUGCAGCGUCUGUUUCUUUGGUAGUUUCGUGAUCAUGGCAGAGAUGCAGACACAUGGGCUGAUCCUGAUCCGAGCAUCCAGCUGCCCGAUAAGUUCCACACAAUCUGAAGCUUGUCGCUGCCCGAGAGCACGUCAGAUCCUGAAACAUGCCAAUUGCUUGAAUUUAUCCUGUCCAUGGCAUAUUUGAUGCCUCGUCGAUGUACACCUGCGGAGGCUAAUUCAUACCAGGGAGCUAAUUGGGUACGCAAAAUCUUCCAGAAUAAAGAGAUUUACCAAAAAUUUGCCACAUUUGACUCGCAGGAACCGCAUUUGGGCCGCAUGUGUUAACGGCCCAAAGUUCCAAUUCAGAAAGCCCAGAAAAUGAGAACACUGUUAGGUUAAGUUUCAGAAGCUUCUGGAUGGCACCCGGGGUCCCGUGGCCGUUGCAAAACACAAACCCUAGAUCCCCAAAUCUCUCGCAUAAAUCCACCAUGAACAGACGCAUAUAGGCGGCUGAAUCUCUCCUAACGCCCUCCACCUUGCUGGGAGUUUGAGCUCGGCUGAAGUUUUGAAGAACUGACUGGAGGGAUUCAGCACCAUGCAGCUGUGUGGAGGAAAUGCUCUUGUGGCUCUGCUGGUUUCUGCUUUCCCAGGCUUUCAAUAUUGUGUCUGAGGAGAUUGACUGACUAUCCACUGCAGGGCUGUACUUUUCUGGUUUAUUAUGCUGCUUCAGUUGAGAGAGCAGGGACAAGGUGGGUUGUCGAUUUGUAGAAUUCCCCAGGCUUUCAAUAUUGUUGUCUUCUGUUGGUUGGUUUGCUUUCUCUUUGCUCAACAUUGUCCUGCAAUAAGGUUCAAAUGGAAAUUAUUAUGAUUGCCAAGUGCCAACUAAAACAAAAUAGUCGUAAAGUUAUAGCAUUGUGUUUCAGAAUAUGACAUUGUUGACACUUUUUAUUCAUUUUAGCUACUUUUGCUAAACCAGUCACUGGCGUUCUCUCUUGUGAAAAUGAUUCUGAAAUCUUAAAAGUUUUAUUAAUACGAUGCACAAGUAAUAAAUAGGAUUUCAUUAUUCAGAUUGUGAUGCUAAAGUAGUUCUGCUUUGUACAAGGAGAUGAGUGAGGACAUUUACCUGUUUAAACUAUCUGUCCAAUAGCUGACUGUGCCUGGCUUCGAGUCGUUAACUUUUGCCUUCUUCAAGCUACCCUGUGACACAGCACAUGGCAACGAGCCAGCAGCAGCAGGUGCCUCCUUGGCGGUCUUUUUAGGUUGGUUUUCCACAGGCUUUCUUGAACGAUGACGGUUUCUGUUGAUGUGCCGCUCACAGUACUUGUGAUCAGCCAUUGCCUCCUUGGAGCAUCGCCAUUUCUUUCCAUCUGUUCGACGGCAUCUUCCAGGUUCUGGAUCAGAGUCGGCAUUGGUGUACCCUUGAUAAAGAGGUCUCCAGCUCACUGCAUUAGAGAAGCUGGAUGGUAUUGGGGCCUUUGCAUGAAGAUACUUGUAUAUGAGAGCCUGGUGCUCCAGCUCCAUCCACUGCGAGGGAGUAAAGGGCCUCUUGGUCCUGGAUAGCAGGAAAUCCUGCUCAUUUGGCCUUCCAAGAUCCAAGCCUAGAUGACGAUGAAACAAGGAGAAUAUUUAGUCUGACGAAACCUGAAAUGCUGAAGCGAGCAGCAACCUUAUCUUCAGAGACGUGCAUGGCGAAGGGAGCGCCAAGACAAAAGCGUAAAGGCGAAAAAGCAGAUGAAAUGUUACAGGCAGCCUUGGCCGGGGAGGAGGAGGGGCCCAGUGAGCGGUGUAGUGCUGUGCAAAUCCCUAUGGCCGCUAGGCUAGGCCCCUCCACAGCAUUCAUCAGAGCUCAUCAAGUUCCAUGAAUGCUGCACCUCUGUUCUCCUUUUGACUUUUGCUUUUCUUUUGAACAUUGCCAGGGGGGGGGGGAGGGCGAAAAUGGCAAUACUGAACAUUGCAUCAUGAUUUGCAGAGAACAUAUCCAUCCAAGAACAUGCAGCCUAACAUCUUUGUUCUACGCAGCUUAACAUGAAACUGAGGAGGAAUGAACAAGAGGGAAGGCUCUUGGUUGCUGAAGAGGCGUACACACCUGAGGGCAAUGCCUGAGCAGCCUUGGAGAACCUGAGCAUCUUCUGCUCGUCAAGGAAGGGGGAGGGGUGGAAAGCCGCUGCGGCUGCUGCCUCGCCUCCUCGCUUGAGGAGACCCAGGUCGCCCUCCCCGGGCGACGGCACGGUGCCGCCGAUGCCUUGCUGCAGCCCCAUCAGUUCCCCGAGCUCCAUGGCCGCAGCUCCAGCAGCACGGAACUCGGUGGCACUCAUUUGGGCGAGGAGAGGAGGCUCAGGCUGAUGAGAGAGAGUGGAACGAGGGUGGAAGUGGUGCGCAUCGUUGGGGACAGACAGCCUGGUUGAUUUUUGAGGAUGGUGGAGGGCGAGAGAGAGAGAGAGAGAGAGCAGAGAAGGUGGGUGUGCUUUUCUGGUGGGAGGCACAGGCCAGGCAGGGUAUGUGUGGUGGCUCUUUGGGGGGACUAGGGGAUGGCCCUUAAAUAGCACCGGUCCUUUCAUCCAUUCUUUUGGCCUUCAUUCAGACAGGUUUUUUGAGAUUUUUUUUGAAAAGCAGAGAUUUCUUUUCGAGA